AAUUAACCUAUUUAUGAGUACUUGAUUCACCCAUAUUUGGGUAUUGCACAUUUCACUCAUAUUAUGAGUAAAAUAUACUGAGAAAAUCGGUAAAUUUCACCCAUAUUGCUGAUAAAGCGACUUUACCAAUUUAUGAGUGAAUGAAUUUACUCAUAUUUGGGUGAAAAAAUAUGACUUUGUUGUUUUUGUUGUCAAACUGCCAUCACCCGAGUUUUCGAGAUCCGGAAACUGUUCCGUUCCGGCGGUUUGUGAACCUAUCCAGCUGCAGUGGAGAGUUUACACCUGUUGUGAAAGCCACACAUCCUGUUAACAGAACCAUAAUCCGCCGAAACCAGACGACAUUCCAAUCACGAGUAUUCAAACAGAUAUGGUUCCCCUGAUUAGCAUGCCAGCCAAGAUGCCAGCGGUCCCACCCAUCAACAAUCGCACCAUGUCAAAACGGACGGAAACGGCCAUAGAAGCAGAUUCCACACACAUCUCGAGCUAGUGCUUGCGAUCUUCGCGGAUCGUGCCAUUUUAUCUAUGUACUUCGACACCAUCCAACGAGUCUGGCGAUGACUAAAACUGCAGACACCGCAUACGACGAUGACAACGGAGGUGGAAAUUGUGCAGCUAGAAAUGAUGGUCGCAAUUGAAUUGCUAAUGGACCUGGUGGUGGAACCGCUGAUACCGGAUCGAGUGGAAGCGGUCGAAUGGAAGGACAUCAUUUAGGAGAGUAAAUCGUUGAAUAUGGGAUUCAAUAUGCCAGCUUCCCCAAGUGCCAACACCGCGGUUCCGGUAGCUUGAUCUUCGGAGGAGGGCUGCUAAGCACUGAACGAAACAUCGUAGGAUGUGUACUGCUGACCAGAUAUGGAUGCACCGUGCGCAAGGUAAUAGCAAUUACCGAGAAGAGUGCAAAAUAUUCGCGAUAGCGCAUUCGAGGCCCACCGAGAUCUUAAAGAUAUGGAUUCCUGAUUCGCACGAGGAAACAGUUUCCAAUUUGAUAAAUGCAAUGAUCAUUAUCAUCUAUCUCAUCACAAGCGUCGUCGAGACGAGAAUGGGCUUCCUUAAACUUCUAUUUCCGCCAAUACAGCAACCGGUAAUCUGACAUACUGCUACUCUUUAAGGCAUGAAUCCUGCUUUUACCAGUCCAACAGUAAUCAGUAGCUCCGGUAUGGUUUCAGUAAGUUUUUAAA